CUAUAAUAAUAAUAAUAAUAAUAAUAAUUUAUAGUGCAAAGAUGGAUCAUUCUGGUUAAAGCAAAUACAAAAUUAUGUCUAUAAUACAAGGACUUAGGCUGCAGUCCUAACCAGGUCUACUCGGAAGUAAGCCCCAUAGAAUUCAAUGGAGCAGCAGCCAUAUGAGGUAGAUUAGGCUGAGAGUUAGUGGCUGACUCAAAGUAGUAAGUGAGGAAAACGAUGAUGGGUAAAGACCAUCCACAAAGCCUCAUUGGAGUGUCUAAUUGUUAAUAACCAUGGCUGGUGCUUCAAUGAAAAGACAAACAAAAUUAACAGAAUAGGAAAAAGAAGAUUUUUGCAAAUCUUCCAGUAAUUUCUGCUGUCUGCAGUAAUGUCUGACUUGUUUCCUGAGUCCAUGAAGCAUGCGACAGAGCGUCUCCUGGUCACCCUCCCCCCACUCCUACCACUGCAAGCAGUCAGGAAAAAGGAGACCAUAUUGGCCUAGACGAAUGACACAACACAGUUAGCCCAGUACUUUCAACCUUACUAGCUUACCUGGUGGGUUGCCUCAUAGGUCUACUUGGGAACUUCUUGUACUUGUAAACAGAUUCUGAAGUGCAUACUAAAUGAAAAUGUCAUAAUUUAAAACACACACAUUUGUAUAAUAUGUAGUUUUUGCUGGCAAAAUACACCUGUAGUGGUUCAAUAAUUGCACACUCACUCAUAUGUAUUGCAUUGAUAGACACUGAAAUAUGUACCUGUCUAUGUCAUUUGUAAAUGAUUCCGACUACAUGCAUCUUUUAUCUGAGAGUAGAGUAUAAGAAUGGCUUUAAUUCCGAGAAGAAUAUAUUUUUUCUUGCUAAGCCAUGCUUGUGUUCUUCAUUAAAUUGUUUCAGACCAUCAGAAUAAUGAUUGCAAGCACUAUCCUCCUUCUCUUGCAUUUAAACUGUUUAUUAAAAUAUAAGAACAGUAAUUACUGUAACAAAAAUAAAAAUAGA